AGUGAACGCUGGCGGUAGGCCUAACACAUGCAAGUCGAACGGCAGCACAGUAAGAGCUUGCUCUUACGGGUGGCGAGUGGCGGACGGGUGAGGAAUACAUCGGAAUCUACUUUUUCGGGGGGGAUAACGUAGGGAAACUUACGCUAAUACCGCAUACGACCUGCGGGUGAAAGCAGGGGAGCUUCGGACCUUGCGCGAUUGAAUGAGCCGAUGUCGGAUUAGCUAGUUGGCGGGGUAAAGGCCCACCAAGGCGACGAUCCGUAGCUGGUCUGAGAGGAUGAUCCGCCACACUGGAACUGAGACACGGUCCAGACUCCUACGGGAGGCAGCAGUGGGGAAUAUUGGACAAUGGGCGCAAGCCUGAUCCAGCCAUCCCGCGUGGGUGAAGAAGGCCUUCGGGUUGUAAAGCCCUUUUGUUGGGAAAGAAAAGCAGCAGGUUAAUACCCCGCUGUUCUGACGGUACCCAAAGAAUAAGCACCGGCUAACUUCGUG
rnacentral:rRNA from 1 species